GGCAGCCCAGUCCUACUGCUGGGGUGGGAGGCUGUUUCCACCACGUCCUGGACUCCUCUCCUCCUCCUUCUCCUCUCUCACUGCACAGGUUCCCUCUCCCAGCCUGUGCUGACUCAGCCAGCAUCACUCUCAGCGACUCCUGGAGCAUCAGCCAGACUCACCUGCACCUUGCGCAGUGACAUCAAUGUUGGUAGCUACUACAUAUACUGGUACCAGCAGAAGCCAGGAAGUCCGCCUUGGUAUCUCCUGUACUACUGCUCAGACUCAAAUAAGCACCAGGGCUCUGGAGUCCCCAGCCGCUUCUCUGGAUCCAAAGAUGCCUCUGCCAAUGCAGGGCUCUUACUCAGCUCUGGGCUCCAGUGA